UGGAAAAACGGGCCUCUGGGUAUCUCGCUGCCGGUCGGCUGGUGACCCCCCAGCGGAGGGACCGGGCCGAGCCCGCGGACCCCUCCGAGUGUCUCCUGGGGCCUAGCCGUUGGGACCCCAUUUCCCCCGGGUCCGGUAUUUGGGGUGGUCUCUGUCUGCCCCGGUUCAUCUCCACCGUCUCACCUUCACCCCAUCUUGGGACGUGAAACUUUUUGAAAGUUUAGAGCGAACUUACUGUGGGACCAACUUGCUUCCAGAUUGCUUACACCUGGGGAGACAAUACCACCAUGAAGAUGGCAGAUAACCCAUGAUGAAGUGCUAAGUUGUUUGCUAUGGUGUAGCUGGAAUUCAGAGGGGAGAGACUUAUGGCUACCAGAUCCAAGAUAGCUCUCACGUGUGAAUAUGUGUCUAGUGCAUCCUUAACCUAAGGACUUCAGUUCGAAAUUACAGUUUUCACCAUCAACUACCUUAUCCUUUUUGGUCUGGUUUUCUUCCUCAAACAGUGGAAACAUUUUUAAAGUUGCUUUUGUUGCAGAGUUAAACAAAUGGCUGAUAGUGGCUUAGAUAAAAAAUCCACAAAAUGCCCCGACUGUUCAUCUGCUUCUCAGAAAGAUGUACUUUGUGUAUGUUCCAGCAAAACAAGGGUUCCUCCAGUUUUGGUGGUGGAAAUGUCACAGACAUCAAGCAUUGGUAGUGCAGAAUCUUUAAUUUCACUGGAGAGAAAAAAAGAAAAAAAUAUCAACAGAGAUAUAACCUCUAGGAAAGAUUUGGUAAAUAUCAAAGAUUCCGCAUCUAAGCACAAG
rnacentral:sRNA from 1 species